CAGCUGUGGCAAUGCCUGAUCCUUUAACCCACUGCACCUGGCUAGGGCUCAAACAUGCAACUCUGCAGUGACCUGAACCACUGCAGUUGGAUUCUUAACACACUGCUCCACAGCAGGAACUCCAAGUCAAAUUAUUCUGUUUGAAGGGUUGUUGGCAUUAUUUCAUGUUGUUCCAACUUGUACUUUGUAAUAAGAAGGGUGAAGACUCUAAGACAACCAGGAUGAAUGGUGACCAGUUCCUAACGUGAGCCAUUCCCCCCAGGAUAUCCAAAAAUGACAGCACCUCAGCCUGCAGUCUUUGUUCUGGCCUCCAACCAAAUUAACAGUAGCUAUUUGGAAGUGUGUUCUAUGCAAUUGCAAUAGAGGAUGAGCUCGCUGAGGUAUCUGACUUAUACCUACCUGACCCAAGUAGUUUACAAGGAGAUACUUACCCAUCUGUAUUUUAUAACCCCUUUUCCAAACCUGGUUCUCAAUAUCCUGCUUGUCUGGAUCAGGUGGUUUGAGACACAUUUGGGGAACUGAGAGGCUUACUGUUUAAUGGAACAGAUGAUUUGUAUUCCCAGAUAUUUUUGAGGAUAAUGGCUCUCUGUCUGGGCUGUGUAUUAGACUCAUCCAAGAUGCUUUGAAAAAUGCCAAGGCCUGAGUCUCACACUCAGAGAUUCUAAUUUAAUUGAUCUGCAUGGGCAAACAUUUUAAAAGCUCUACUGUGUGCAUAUGGGUUUGAGAACUACCAUUCUAAGAAAAGGUAUAUGUUGAUAAGGUGACACAAUAAGAUAUCUAACUCUGAAUUGCCUGAUUUCAGACUCAAACUCCUAUGCAUUUAUAUAAAAAGAAGAUACAUUUAGUGUUUAAAUAUUUGAGCUUUCAAUGUAUAAAAAUUAAGGUUUUAUGGACUCUCUCAAAGAAGAACUACAGAAUAUGUUUUACAGGGCUUUUAAAAAUUAGCUCAUUUUGAAAUACCCAGGCAAAUUUGAGGAUAGAUGAACAUGGAUUACCACCUUUUGGUAUUAUUUCUAGAUAUUUACAGAGAUAAUUCAGUUUUAGUCAUGUUUAAGGCUUUUAAAAAUCAUACUUUGGGAUAAACAUUGUUUUAAAAUAUUGUUUUAAAAUAUAGAUUUAAAAAAAUUUACUAAUCUUAUUAAUUUUUCUCCUGGUUGAAAUUUCCUUUUCUUUCUCUUUUUGUUUAAUGCCAGGCUGCAACAUUUUGGUGAACUACACAGCAUGUAGGAAAAGAAAAAAAAUUCCUUGCUUUUGCCACAAAAUAACAUUUGGUAAUAGCAGAAACUGUGGCUUUGGCAGGCUUCACUAUGUUUCUGGUAGAACUUGUUCCCAACUUUGGAUAAAGGGAUGCUGAGGACUGGGGCAGAGCAAGAUUGAUGUUGUGGGCAAAUGGAUUCUGAUCUCUCAGGAGAUGGGUAUCAAAACUACCUGUGACACCAUGGUAGCACAAUCUCCAAUUGUAUUACCUUUGGAAUCAGAAGAAAACAAAAGAAGGAAAUGGCCAGGAAUUGUGGUCAUUCCGUUUCUAAUGGAAUGUAUGAUUCCAUUAGACUGAAAAGCUAGGUCAAGGGCCUAUUCAAUAAUAAAAAAUGGCUCCAAGAGCAGCAUUUAAUACCAUCAUGCAGGCCAGCACACAGGUUUAUAUUCGAAAGCCCCCACAGAGGUGACUCUGGUUCUGCAGAGGCAAGACAGUGAUAGAAUUAAGGAAAUGGGCUUAUUUUUAGAAAAGAGUCCCCAAAGUGGCUUGUGAUUGGGGCACAUUGUAAAGGCAUGGCUGUAAGCUCAUUGUGGAGUCCUGGUCUCUUGUGGAAACAGUUAGGGCUUAAAACAAAUCAAUAUAUACAUGAUUUUAUUCUGCAGAUGACACUGUCUUAAUUCGAUUCAGCAGACAUUUAUUGGGCAUUUACUAUGUCCCUAGUGCAGAGUUAGACAAUAGAGAUAAGGGAUGAACUCAUAGACCUUGACCUCAGUCUGCCCACAGCCUGUUAAGGAAGAAAUCUCUAAAUGACAAAUUGCAAUUCAAUGUGUUAGGAGGACUCUGUGUGCAGGGAGCAAGUGUUGGUUGUCUGUUGGGUGUGCGGGAGUGACUGGACAAAGAUAACUUGGUUUGUGGGCCAGAGACACACUCAAAAGAGGAUAAUUUGGAAGUGAAGCUAUUGUAAAGAUGCAAAGAGAAUCUCACUGAAACAAAUGCAAGAGGCAUCAUGAACAUCUUAAAAUCACCAUGAACCUUCAUUCUAUCUCUCUAACUACAUCAUCUCCUCUCUCUUAGUCCAGCUUCUCUUCUCAUCUAUCUACCUAUUUAUAUAGGUCUUUUAACCCAUCUGGUCCAGCCUCUAGUUGCAUCUCCAAGUCCCAUUUUCAGGCACCCAGGAGAGAGAGAGGUGAUUUGUUCAACUGAGGUCAUGUGCCUGCUCUGGCCUGGGUAACUGAGGCCUAAGAGCAGGGUCAUGAGGUGACUACUAUGGGUUUUGGACAAGGUAGAUUUUAUAAAAGCCACUGUAGUGAAGGAGAAAUUGAUGGAGAAGUCACUACCUGGGGUGCCCAUGCCACUGGGUUUUUGGCAUUAGACUAGCACCUAAACCAUGAAGUGACCAGAGAAGAAAUGGUUUAUACUAAGUCAAAUGUAUGUGCACAAACUUAGAAGUUAAUUGUUUUAGUGUCUGGAAGGACCCCAUUCUAGCAAGCUCAGGAUGGGGAAACGUUUUUUCCAUUUGAUGAUGAUAGAAGUCAGUGAUGGUGCAUGCACCACCCUCCUAAUCCCUCCAGAGCAGAAAAAUGGGUUAGAUCUCAAGUAGUUUGAGAAAGUUUAGAGUUCUUGUUUUGUUUAUAACACAGGGUAGCAUAGAGUUCACCAUGCUAUUGUGAAUUCAGUUAGUAUUAACUGAGCUUCUGUCUUGUUCAAAACACUGCAGGGACUAUAGGGUGAGCAAUAUGAAGACCAUUGUAUUUCCUUAGAAGUUGUUAUGAAAACUCCACUUGACCAGAAUAUAGGAAUCGUUUAGAAGAAAAGUUUCGACAAAUGAUUUGGGCAACAGUAGAUGCUCCAAGAAGUAGAAAGGAGGAGAUUGCAAUGAACUUGGGGGCUCUUUGGAAAGUUAGGGAGAGAGAAACACAGUUUCCGGACAGUAUGCAUGAGUGGCCUUUGGUUAAAAGAAAACUCAAAGAUUUUAGGCUGUUGAAUUUGGCAUGCAGUGUAAAAUCUUAUUUAUCCCAUGGAAUCUUCACAAAAUAUAACAUUAAUCAUUAAUGCAUUUAUAAGAAUAAAUUCUUUUGAGGGUCCUUUAAGAGGACAUAAUGGACAGCUCAUAUCUAUACUACCUAAGUAUAGAAAAAAACAUGUGCCCAGUUCUUGAUUUCUUUACAAUGCUUAGGUGAAUUUCAUCAGCCUAGGUGAGUGACUUUGGAUUUUCUGGUUACUUGUCUAUCAAUCUUGUAAGUUAGCAAAAGCAUCAAGACAACACACUGUUGGGUAUAGGACCAUCCUAGGAUCAUCAGAACCCAAAGGCACUGACUACGUGUUUUGAACUAUACACCUUUUUCAUGUUGGGAGCACAAAGUGGAAAAAUACAGAGCUCUUGUCUCCUAGGGACUCACAGUCUGUUGGUGAAAACAGACACAUAAGAAUGUAAAAAUAUGACAGAAAAUGAAUCAAUAUUAUACCAUAAUUGAACUUCUGUAAAGAAAGACUCUUCAACAAACACUGACACAUUCCAAGGAGAGCAGAAAAUCUGAACCGAGAGCACUGAACUCAGAAAGCCCCCUGAUGUGUGAUGAUUAGUGGACAUUUCUGACAGCAUCCCUAUUAGCUCUAUUGAUAACACUUGGGAAAGGUCAAAUUUUGCAAAGACUUUCUGCCCACUAAGAAUAGCAAGGAAUCGAUCAAUUCUGAGCAUAAGAACAAUGUCAGGACCCAGAUAGAAGUGCAGUUGCUAUCACUGGGAAGCCUUCCUUCUUUCAAAUAAAGGCCCUGGAAAAUUCACAUCAAAUCCUCUAGGUAGACCCUUUGACUCACUGAGUGCCUUGGACACCCAGCUUUUUAAUAGCCAAGUCUUUUGCACCUUCAAUUUUAGUUCAAAUCUUGAUCAUUGGGGAGAUUUUACUGACCAGUUAUUAAGUAAGGUAACACCCUUCCCCCAUUGCUGCAUUAACUUCACAUUGUUCAUUUCCAUCUCAGCACUUGGCAUAAUCUGAAAUCAUCUUGAAUAUUGUUAGGUUACCUGUUUACACAUGGAUUCUUCAGUACAUUUCACAUUAUUCAAUGAUACAUUUAUGAACAUAUAUUCUUUUCAGGGUCCUUUAAGAAGAUAUGAUACGGUAGCUCAUAUCUAGAUUCCCUAAGUAUGGAAAAAUGCAUGGAUCCACUUCUCAAGUUGCUUACAAUGCCUAUCUUCUGUCCCUUCCUCAUUCCCUUCUAGGAUAAAAGCAAACACUAUAUGUCUUGAAUACAGAGUAGAGGUUAGUGUAGAUUGUGCCUUUGUGUGAGUUAGAGGAAACUCCUCUUUAAACAGAUGGAUGAGAAAAUGUCACACCAUCUUGGCACAGUUGUACAAGUUCACACCUCCAUGAGUAGAUUUCAAACCCCCACUUUCCUUCUGUGUGUAGUACAAGAACUUCAGAAACACAGAGGACAGCCCUGGUUGUCCAGUACCAUUUGGGAAGUGUUCAUUAAUAUUUGGUGAAUGAAUGAGGCACCCCAGGAUCUACCAAACAGACCAUAUUAUACAGUGAUAUUCUUGUAGGGAAGCCUUUUGAGACCCAACUGGUUUCCUUCACAGCCCGGGAAGGGCCAAUCAGAAGCUCACAGUUGGAGUUACAGCAGCACUUCAAGAGCCCAGUCACCAGUUGAGGGUGACCUCUAUAACCUUCUGAUAGUUCAUAAAUGCACCAACCUCAAGGGCUCUUAUCUAAGUACCACUGUCAGUGUCCUGAAUGCAGCCAGGUUGGGGGGAUUGAAACCUUCUAAUGGAGCACCCCUUUCCAGAGGUCCUAUAAGCCCUGGCAAAGCCAGUAUCCCACCUUUUAAAUAGCAGAGUCAAAAUCUUGCUGAUGACUUUGGCCGAUGCAUGGGAGCCACGCCAAGGGAUGUACCUCAGAUGGAGAUGUGAGGGAACUAAAGAAAAAGAAAAACCCAUGUUGCUUGCUUAAAUAAAAACUUCAAAUAAGAACAUGGCUUUGACAGUUCAUCCCCUGCAGAAUUAACCUUUGUUUCUCGGCAGGCUGCUUCUAAGAAGACACAUCGUGCCUAAAAGGAUACGGGGAAGAAAGCUUACAGAAUGGCUUGUGUGUUUAACCACAAAGGAGGAAAAGCUGAAAUGAAAGCAAAGUUGAAAAGGAGGCUUGUUCCUAACUAACGCAGCCUCUAGACAGGAGUCUUAAGAUGCAAAAGCAAUUACCAUAAACAUGAAUUUGAGUCCCCGUUCACAGAUGCACAAACACCGCUCCUUCAUCUGCUGUUUCUGUAACUUAUUCCCAGCAAGGAUAACAAGAUUCUAGGGGCAGGAAGGCAAUCACAGAGAUCAUAGUCUAGCUUCUUCUAUUCUUUUAGAGCCAACUUGAGACCUCAUCCUGGAAGCCUUCCUAGAUUUGAUAAGUGCUCCUCCUCUGUAUCCCCAUAAAAUAAUAUGAGUUUCUUUAUUUUUGAAUUCAUUACACUGUAGUAUAGUUACCUGUUCAUGUGUCCAAGACAGGGGUGUUUUAUUUGACUUAAGAAAUCUUUAAAGUCAAAUACUUAGCACUUCGCCUGGAAUAAAAUGACAUCUCAGUAAGUUCUUAAUGAAAUAGUCAAUGGGGCAUUCUAUUAACAGUUGAUUAUUGAACUCAUACAUCUGUCGUCCCUUUGCCACACACUAAGGCAGUACACAAGAAGUAAGCACAGUGUAAUCACAAUGGUAGCUAUUGUUUUGUGUGUCUGUUAUGAGUCAGGCACUCUGCUAAUUGCUCUGCAAAUUGUUUUCUCAUUAAUACCUCAAGUCAACAUUAUGACCUUCAUUUCAUAAAUUAGACUGAGACCUGGAGAGACAAACUAACUUUCCCCGAAAGCUGCUCAACAGGCAAGCAGAGAACCAGCAUUUGAAUCAAUCUCAAAAUCCCCUGAUCUUCACUUUACAGUAGGUGGUUUCUCUGACCUUAAAAAACAUGUGAGGAGCUCCCAUCGUGGCUCAGUGCUGAUGAUCCCAACUAGUAGUCAUGAAGACUCAGGUUCAAUCCCUGGCUUCACUCAGUGGGUUAAAGAUCUGGCAUUGCCAUGAGCUGUGGUAUAGCUUGCAGAUGUGGCUCGGAUCCCGCGUUGCUGUGGGGCUGUGGUGUAGGCCAGCAGCUGCAGCUCUAAUUCCACCCCUAGCCUGGGAACUUCCAU
rnacentral:lncRNA from 1 species